GUAUACAUUUCCAGGGGUCAGUAUGAUGUUACAUUUUUUAAGAAAUCGGUGAUAUUUUGUCAAGUGAAAGGCACAAUGAUUCGUGUUUUCUUACAGGGUGUGGGCCCCAUCCAGGUCAAGUAUGCUGAUGGGGAGCGUGAACGGUUAGGUUUAGCGGAAUACAAGUUAUAUGUUGGCUCGCUAAAUAAACAAGCAACUGAAGAAGAAGUUGAACAAAUUUUUUUCGCGUUUCGGUCGAGUUGACGAUGUCUAUAUCUUUCGGAAUGGAAAGAAUCAUAGUCGAGUUGAUCAAGGUCAACUACAGGAACCUAAUUGUGGUGGUCAAACUUCUUUUAGUCAAGGGUUUCCGUUGCAACCUAUGCUUGGUUUUAGUGGGCUGUUACCCCUGCAGCAGGCCCAUACUUAUGCCCAAACUGCAAUGAUGAAUCAGUAUCAUUUGCCAGCUCAGCAGCACAUGAUGCACCCUUUGCACCAAUCAGCAAGUUACCAAUCAUCUCAGCAGGCAUGCUCACAGCUUCAACAGCAACUGCAGCUUAUGCAAUCGUCGAAUCCCAAUUUGACACCUCAGCAGCAGUCUACAUUGGCUGGUAGUGUACCACAAACAUCAGCAACUUUUGGUUAUCCAACUAUAAAACCCGUGACGGAUUCGCUUUAUGCUGCUUCGGUUGCUCCAGUUGUGUUCUCAUCUGGAGGUCCCGUGAAAUGUAAUUGGACGGAGCACAUCUCCCUUGAUGGAUAUAGGUAUUACUACAACAGCAUGACCGGUGAAAGCAAAGUAAACAUCGUUACUUUUUGCAUUAUUUAUUAUGUUUUCUUGGUGAACUUGAAAUCGGUGGUAAAUAUUUAUUAUAAAUCUGGUGGAUACAGUGGGAGAGACCAGAGGAGUUGGCACUGUUUGAAUUAGGCUUGGGAUGAAAUUUUGCCUCGAGUGUAUUGUUUGUUUAAGGGUUUAACUUUCCUUGUAAUAAAUGUGAUAAUUCUUUUAUGCUAAUGUCUAAAAAAAUAAAUGUGAAAUAUGUUGGCAAAACUUCAGUUCAGUGCAGUUUCAGUGUGCCAACUUUACUUGCUUUUAUCUUAUUGUUUUUUUGGGGGGUUUAUUCUAAAUAGGGCUAUGGCUAUACACAAAUGGCGGUGGCUGGUGGUUCUAUGAGUGAUUCCUCCCGAUUCCAGCAGGGCUUGCAGGGAGGUCAGGACUGGACGUUGAAGAACGAAACAACAGGUCCAGAGAACUAGGCAAGGCCAUUUUACGACAGGUCAAUCGUAUGACAUGAUCAAUCUUGUAA